UGGCUCAGAACGAACGCUGGCGGCAGGCUUAACACAUGCAAGUCGAGCGCUGUAGCAAUACAGAGCGGCGCACGGGUGAGUAACACGUGGGAACGUGCCCUUUGGUUCGGAAUAACCCAGGGAAACUUGGGCUAAUACCGGAUAAGCCCUUACGGGGAAAGAUUUAUCGCCGAAAGAUCGGCCCGCGUCUGAUUAGCUAGUUGGUGGGGUAAUGGCCCACCAAGGCGGCGAUCAGUAGCUGGUCUGAGAGGAUGAUCAGCCUCACUGGGACUGAGACACGGCCCAGGAACCUACGGGAGGCAGCA
rnacentral:rRNA from 2 species